CCUACGGGAGGCUGCAGUGAGGAAUAUUGGUCAAUGGGCGCGAGCCUGAACCAGCCAAGUAGCGUGAAGGAUGACUGCCCUACGGGUUGUAAACUUCUUUUAUAAAGGAAUAAAGUGAGGCACGUGUGCCUUUUUGUAGUUACUUUAUGAAUAAGGAUCGGCUAACUCCGUGCCAGCAGCCGCGGUAAUACGGAGGGUUCGAGCGUUAUCCGGAUUUAUUGGGUUUAAAGGGAGAGUAGGUGGGUUAUUAAGGCAGUUGUGAACGUUUGCGGAUCAACCGUAAAAUUGCAAUUGAUACUGGCAGUCUUGAGUACAGUUGAGGUAGGCGGAAUUCGUGGUGUAGCGGUGAAAUGCUUAGAUAUCACGAAGAACUCCGAUUGCGAAGGCAGCUUACUAAACUGCCACUGACAUUGAUGCUCGAAAGUGUGGGUAUCAAACAGGAUUAGAUACCCUGGUAGUC
rnacentral:rRNA from 1 species